UGCAAGUCGAGCGGUAACAGAAAGUAGCUUGCUACUUUGCUGACGAGCGGCGGACGGGUGAGUAAUGCUUGGGAACAUGCCUUGAGGUGGGGGACAACAGUUGGAAACGACUGCUAAUACCGCAUAAUGUCUACGGACCAAAGGGGGCUUCGGCUCUCGCCUUUAGAUUGGCCCAAGUGGGAUUAGCUAGUUGGUGAGGUAAUGGCUCACCAAGGCAACGAUCCCUAGCUGGUUUGAGAGGAUGAUCAGCCACACUGGAACUGAGACACGGUCCAGACUCCUACGGGAGGCAGCAGUGGGGAAUAUUGCACAAUGGGCGAAAGCCUGAUGCAGCCAUGCCGCGUGUGUGAAGAAGGCCUUCGGGUUGUAAAGCACUUUCAGUCAGGAGGAAAGGGUGUGAGUUAAUACCUCACAUCUGUGACGUUACUGACAGAAGAAGCACCGGCUAACUCCGUGCCAGCAGCCGCGGUAAUACGGAGGGUGCGAGCGUUAAUCGGAAUUACUGGGCGUAAAGCGUACGCAGGCGGUUUGUUAAGCGAGAUGUGAAAGCCCCGGGCUCAACCUGGGAACUGCAUUUCGAACUGGCAAACUAGAGUGUGAUAGAGGGUGGUAGAAUUUCAGGUGUAGCGGUGAAAUGCGUAGAGAUCUGAAGGAAUACCGAUGGCGAAGGCAGCCACCUGGGUCAACACUGACGCUCAUGUACGAAAGCGUGGGGAGCAAACGGGAUUAGAUACCCCGGUAGUCCACGCCGUAAACGAUGUCUACUAGAAGCUCGGAACCUCGGUUCUGUUUUUCAAAGCUAACGCAUUAAGUAGACCGCCUGGGGAGUACGGCCGCAAGGUUAAAACUCAAAUGAAUUGACGGGGGCCCGCACAAGCGGUGGAGCAUGUGUUUAAUUCGAUGCAACGCGAAGAACCUUACCUACACUUGACAUACAGAGAACUUUCUAGAGAUAGAUUGGUGCCUUCGGGAACUCUGAUACAGGUGCUGCAUGGCUGUCGUCAGCUCGUGUUGUGAGACGUGGGUAAGUCCCGCAACGAGCGCAACCCCUAUCCUGGCUGCUAGCAGUAUGCUGAAAACUCUAAGGAGACUGCCGGUGAUAAACCGAAG
rnacentral:rRNA from 1 species